rnacentral:rRNA from 1 species
UACGUAGGUGGCAAGCGUUGUCCGGAAUUAUUGGGCGUAAAGCGCGCGCAGGCGGUCCUUUAAGUCUGAUGUGAAAUCUUGCGGCUCAACCGUAAGCGUGCAUUGGAAACUGGAGGACUUGAGUACAGAAGAGGAGAGUGGAAUUCCAUGUGUAGCGGUGAAAUGCGUAGAUAUAUGGGGGAACACCAGUGGCGAAGGCGACUCUCUGGUCUGUAACUGACGCUGAGGCGCGAAAGCGUGGGGAGCAAACAGG